rnacentral:rRNA from 1 species
UGGUGGCUAUAGCGCAUAGGACCCACCCGAUACCAUCCCGAACUCGGAAGUUAAACUAUGCUGCGCUGAUGAUAGUACGAAAGUGCGAAAGUAAGUCGCUGCC